GGGAACCCAAUAUCUUUUAUAGGAUAUUACUUUUCAGUGAAUACAUAGCUGAUUAGAGGUAGACGCAGAGAACUGAAACAUCUUAGUACCUGCAGGAAGAGAAAGAAAAUUCGAUUCCCUGAGUAGCGGCGAGCGAAACGGGAAGAGCCCAAACCAACAAGCUUGCUUGUUGGGGUUGUAGGACUCCAAUAUGGUAGUCUGUUAGUAUAGUUGAAGGAUUUGGAAAAUUCCGCUAAAGAGGGUGAAAGCCCCGUAGACGAAAUGCUGACAACACCUAGGAGGAUCCUGAGUACGGCGGAACACGAGAAAUUCCGUCGGAAUCCGCGGGGACCAUCCCGCAAGGCUAAAUACUCCCUAGUGACCGAUAGUGAACCAGUACCGUGAGGGAAAGGUGAAAAGCACCCCGGAAGGGGAGUGAAAUAGAUCCUGAAACCGUGUGCCUACAACAAGUCAAAGCUCGUUAAUGAGUGAUGGCGUGCCUUUUGUAGAAUGAACCGGCGAGUUACGAUUGCAUGCGAGGUUAAGUCGAAGAGACGGAGCCGCAGCGAAAGCGAGUCUGAAUAGGGCGAAUGAGUAUGUAGUCGUAGACCCGAAACCAUGUGAUCUACCCAUGUCCAGGUUGAAGGUGCGGUAAAACGCACUGGAGGACCGAACCCACGUACGUUGAAAAGUGCGGGGAUGAGGUGUGGGUAGCGGAGAAAUUCCAAACGAACUUGGAGAUAGCUGGUUCUCUCCGAAAUAGCUUUAGGGCUAGCCUCGGAAUUGAGAAUGAUGGAGGUAGAGCACUGUUUGGACUAGGGGCCCAUCUCGGGUUACCGAAUUCAGAUAAACUCCGAAUGCCAUUCAUUUAUAUCCGGGAGUCAGACUGCGAGUGAUAAGAUCCGUAGUCGAAAGGGAAACAGCCCAGACCACCAGCUAAGGUCCCAAAAUAUAUGUUAAGUGGAAAAGGAUGUGGGGUUGCACAGACAACUAGGAUGUUGGCUUAGAAGCAGCCACCAUUUAAAGAGUGCGUAAUAGCUCACUAGUCGAGUGACCCUGCGCCGAAAAUGUACCGGGGCUAAACAUAUUACCGAAGCUGUGGACUACACCAUUAGGUGUAGUGGUAGGAGAGCGUUCUAAGGGCGUUGAAGGUCGAUCGUGAGGACGGCUGGAGCGCUUAGAAGUGAGAAUGCCGGUAUGAGUAGCGAAAGACAGGUGAGAAUCCUGUCCACCGUAUGACUAAGGUUUCCUGGGGAAGGCUCGUCCGCCCAGGGUUAGUCGGGACCUAAGCCGAGGCCGAUAGGCGUAGGCGAUGGACAACAGGUUGAUAUUCCUGUACCAGUUGUUUUUGUUUGAGCAAUGGAGGGACGCAGUAGGCUAAGGAAUGCAUGCGAUUGGAAGUGCAUGUCCAAGCAAUGAGUCUUGAG
rnacentral:rRNA from 1 species